rnacentral:rRNA from 1 species
GAAUUUUCCGCAAUGGGCGAAAGCCUGACGGAGCAAGACCGCGUGGGGGAAGAAGGCUCUUGGGUUGUAAACCCCUUUUCUCUGGGAAGAAAGUUGUGAAAGCAACCUGACGGUACCAGAGGAAUCAGCAUCGGCUAACUCCGUGCCAGCAGCCGCGGUAAGACGGAGGAUGCAAGCGUUAUCCGGAAUGAUUGGGCGUAAAGCGUCCGCAGGUGGCAGUUCAAGUCUGCUGUCAAAGACCGGGGCUUAACUUCGGAAAGGCAGUGGAAACUGAACAGCUAGAGUAUGGUAGGGGCAGAGGGAAUUCCUGGUGUAGCGGUGAAAUGCGUAGAGAUCAGGAAGAACAUCGGUGGCGAAGGCGCUCUGCUGGACCAUAACUGACACUCAGGGACGAAAGCUAGGGGAGCGAAUGGGAUUAGAUACCCCAGUAGUCAAC